AACGAAGGGAGCUAGCGUUACUCGGAAUAAUUGGGCGUAAAGCGUGUGAAGGUUGUUUUUAUUUACAUAUACAGAAAGAUAAAGGAUGUAAGCUUUUAUAACGUAUAUUUGAUUAUAUUACUUGAGUUUAAAAAAAGAUAGUCGUAUUUCUAGUUUAAGGUUAGAAUCUAUUGAAAUUAGAAAGACGGUCAUUAGGUGUAGACUACUAUCUUUUAUAAACUGACACUAAAGCACAAAAGUAUGGGUAGCGAAUAGG
rnacentral:rRNA from 1 species